rnacentral:lncRNA from 1 species
GGUAAGGAUGCCAAAGUUAGCAUUCAUCUAAAGAAAUAUGUUAAAGAAAUUAUGGAAGUUUGGAAUAAAAGCCAUACAAAUCUUAUAAUAAAAUUAUAUAGAACUCUUCCCAAGUCUAUGUGAAAUCUAAAAGUUCCAUAGAGUUCCAUGAAAUUUGGCACUUCAAAAAAUUCUUUUAAAUUGCUCUAGAAUCCUAAUUGAAUACUUCCCCCUAAGAUUACAAGCUUAUUACUUUUUUAGGUCUACGAAAAUGUGAAUUACAAAGAUUUGGAAUGAAGUUUUUUUUUUCCUAAUAAAAGGAGGAAAAUACUUCGCUCCUUGCUAGGUAAGUAGGACUUCCUACAUUCCUGCCAAUAGCAGUGUGACAUGUGUGUAGAAGUUUUUAUUUUUGUAUUUUUGAAGAAUUAUUUUUGCAUAUGUGUCAAACUGUGAUUUGCAAGAAGGAGGAGUAUCUCCUUACAAGUAAGGAGGUAAACAAUAUCCAUAAAAGAAUCUCUUCAAAAAAAAAAAAAAAAAGGGGUGGACUCUAGUUACAACAUCCAAAAGAAACUAUUGUAAGACCGAGGGGUUUACCUCAAUGGUGAGGUCCCUUCCCUCCUUGGUCACCUAUUCGAAUCCCAGAAAAAGUGUCCCCAAUUGCUAUAAUUCAAAAAAAUAAAAAUAAAAAAAUAAAAAACUAUUGUAAUUGAGAAGUUAAGGUCUCAGGCUUACUACUUACUAUUCAAUAAAUCGUG